AGGAAAGGGCCCUGACAAGAGGAUGGGACUGCAGUUGUGGCUGCCAGAGUCUUGCUUUGUCGCCCAGGUUGGAGUGCAGUGGCACGAUCUCGGCUCACUGCAACCUCCGCCUCCUGAGUUCAAGUGAUUCUCCUGCCUCAGCCUCCCUAGUAGCUGGGAUUACAGGACAAGCAGAGGGACAAAUUCCUUCUUGGCAUCCUUAUGGCCCCAUGACCUGCUAAUGAAUGCUGACUCUGAGUGGCUACUAGAAUUUGGUUUCCUUAUGGCUUCCCAGGAAUUGUGAGCCAUGUUGGAUAAGGUCCUGCAAGGGAAGAAUGAGGAAGCCUGGGACAGUGCGGGAGGGGAGAGCACUGGUGGUAGGGAGGAGUGAUGACAAGGGUCUCCGCUAAAAGGGAAAUGGAGGGGUUAAAGAAGCAGCUGGGGAAGGUUAAAAACAAUGAGGUGUUCUCACUCAUAGGUGGGAAUUGAACAAUGAGAACGCUUGGACACAGGAAGGGGAACAUCACACACUGGGGCCUGUCGUGGGGUUGGGGGAGGGGGAGGGAUAGCAUUAGGAGAUACACCUAAUGUAAAUGAUGAGUUAAUGGGUGCAGCACACCAACAUGGCACAUGUAUACAUAUGUAACAAACCUGCACGUUGUGCACAUGUACCCUAGAACUUAAAGUAUAAUUAAAAAACAAAACAAAACAAAACAAACAAACAAAAAAAACAA
rnacentral:sRNA from 1 species